rnacentral:rRNA from 1 species
UACAGAGGGGCAAGCGUUGUUCGGAAUUACUGGCGUAAAGGGCGCGUAGGCGGCCUUCUAAGUCGAACGUGAAAUCCCCGGGCUCAACCGGGAACUGCGUCCGAUACUGGAAGGCUUGAAUCCGGGAGAGGGAUGCGGAAUUCCAGGUGUAGCGGUGAAAUGGCGUAGAUAUCUGGAGGAACACCGGUGGCGAAGGCGGCAUCCUGGACCGGAAUUGGACGCUG